rnacentral:rRNA from 1 species
UGGGGGAUAUUGCACAAUGGGCGAAAGCCUGAUGCAGCGACGCCGCGUGGGGGAUGAAGGCCUUCGGGUUGUAAACUUCUUUUGCUCUGAACAAGGCAUGCUAAUGGGUGUGUUGAGUGUAGGGGUUGAUUAGCGCCGGCUAACUACGUGCCAGCAGCCGCGGUAAUACGUAGGGCGCGAGCGUUGUCCGGAAUUAUUGGGCGUAAAGGGCUUGUAGGUGGCUGGUUGCGUCUGUCGUGAAAGCUCAUGGCUUAACUGUGGGUUUGCGGUGGGUACGGGCUGGCUCGAGUGCAGUAGGGGAGGCUGGAAUUCCUGGUGUAGCGGUGGAAUGCGCAGAUAUCAGGAGGAAUACCGGUGGCGAAGGCGGGUCUCUGGGCUGUUACUGACACUGAGGAGCGAAAGCAUGGGGAGCGAACAGG